rnacentral:rRNA from 1 species
GAUGAACGCUAGCGGCAGGCUUAAUACAUGCAAGUCGUGGGGCAGCAUGAGUAGCAAUACUUGAUGGCGACCGGCAAACGGGUGAGGAACACGUACACAACCUUCCUUCAAGCGGGGAAUAGCCCAGAGAAAUUUGGAUUAAUACCCCAUAAUAUAUUUGAUAAGGCAUCUUAUUAAUAUUAAAGCUUCGGCACUUGAUGAUGGGUGUGCGGCUGAUUAGAUAGUUGGCGGGGUAACGGCCCACCAAGUCUACGAUCAGUAGCUGAUGUGAGAGCAUGAUCAGCCACACGGGCACUGAGACACGGGCCCGACUCCUACGGGAGGCAGCAGUAAGGAAUAUUGGACAAUGGACGAAAGUCUGAUCCAGCCAUGCCGCGUGAAGGAUUAAGGUCCUCUGGAUUGUAAACUUCUUUUAUAUGGGACGAAAAAAGGGCACUCUUGUUCACUUGACGGUACCAUAUGAAUAAGCACCGGCUAACUCCGUGCCAG